UACAGAGGGUGCGAGCGUUAAUCGGAAUUACUGGGCGUAAAGCGUGCGUAGACGGUUAUUUAAGUCGGAUGUGAAAGCCCCGGGCUCAACCUGGGAAUUGCAUUCGAGACUGAAUAGCUAGGGUGCGGUAGAGGGAAGCGGAAUUUCCGGUGUAGCGGUGAAAUGCGUAGAUAUCGGAAGGAAUACCGGUGGCGAAGGCGGCAUCCUGGACCGGCAUUGACGCUGAUGAGCGAAAGCUAGGGGAGCAAACGGG
rnacentral:rRNA from 1 species